GCUGAAAGUGCUUUAACGUCGCAUUCGUAAUGCGAAGGUCGUAGGUUCGACUCCUAUUAUCGGCACCA
rnacentral:tRNA from 3 species